rnacentral:lncRNA from 1 species
UGAAUAGGGUGACUUUGCAGCCACCCAGAGGAGGAGAGAGUUCCUGGACCUCCCCAGGUAUCACGCCGAAAAGCAAUUGGUGGCAUUCUGCAAAUCUGUGCUCUGCCACCAGGUUUUGGCUUUGUGUUAUUAAACACAGGGUAAUGCACGGCCCCGGGCGGCACACAAAAUAGCAAUUCCCUUCAGCUCCUCUUUGGAUGUGAUAGAGCUAAUGAAGCAAAUCGGAUCUCAGGGAAUACAGCCACCUUAUUUAGUAUGCGUAUAAAACACCUGUAGUAAGACAUUGUUACGGCUGAGAUUGUUAUGUUUUUAGUGGAAAAAAAGAAUUAGGAUCAAAAAUGCAAAACAACACUGUUCCUAUAAAAAGUGAAAAUGUGCUUGGAUAAAUGAAGGUCAAUAGAGUUAAUUGUGGGGAGUAGUACAAGAAGGCAGCUCAUGCUAGAGAACAUAAUUUGAUUCAGAUAAAGAGGAAUUGUAAUUAAAUGGAGGUUGGAUAAACACGAUUAUCCUGGAAAGGUUACCCAGCAGACAACUGGGAGGUUUUAAGAUGCAGAUGCAGACACAUAUAUGGUGUGGAAGUAGAGACACCAUGGCCAUCAGAUCCCCUGGGUGUUCCGCCACCGUGGAAGUUUGCCCAUGCUGCCAUGCCAUGUGGCAACACGGGGAACAACAGCAAUAACAGGCAAUAAAUUGAGUUAAUUUUGAAGUCUGUUUUGCUGGCGACUGUAAUUGGCAAGCGAUCUCCCUGCUUUCAUCCCAAACCCCAAGAUGUCUCAUUCCGGCUGCUCCCCAUUUUCACACCCAUCCCGCUGUGGUGGGGAGCAGCUGGGUGGGAGCUUGGGUGCUGGCCAAGGCUAACCUGCCACAGUCCAGCUCUGGGCUGGAGAAGAUGAGAGCAUCCCACCCCCAGCCAGAGGGACAAGGUUACUAAUGGCCCUUGAUGACCCAUAUGAGAUGAAGGGAAUCAAAUGUAUUCCUCCCAGGACAACCACAAGACUUCCAAACAAGUUGGCAUGUGAUACAAUAAUUGUCUUAUUCGCAUUCCUGUCUUCUCUGCUUGUUAGCCAAGCAUCAUCCAGCGAGAGGACAGAGCACUCUGCGCUGCUGGCCGGGCAGAAGGAGCCCUGCACGGCGCAAUGA